UGCGGACCGCAAAAUACAUACGGUCGUGUGCAUGAGGCCUUAUAGGGAGGUCCAUUCAGAGUCCUCCUCAGUAUGAUAUCUACAGUUUUCAGGUUCUGGAGGACUCCCUCUUCCUCAUCUUAUGCUCUUAUAAUUGAAUGGAAAUUUUAGCUGGCACCAAUGAAAAUACAUUUACCCGUACAGAGGAUAUAUAUCUCCCUUUUUAAAAAAAAAAACUUUUUGGGCUGGUGGAUAGGAGUGUGGAGAAUAAGCCCCUCCCUCUGAAAUGCCACUAAAGGGGGCAUUUACUUUUAGUAGAUAUUUUGCAUGAGCUUUUCUGAUCUCAAACCCUUUGUUGUGAUCACCUGUAGGCACUUCAUGUAAGUUGAAUAUUUUUAUCUAACUCGAUCCUUAAAGGGGACAUGCACUUUAAUAGAUUCAAUGUAUAUUACUGAAACCUGAGGGAAGACUAACCUACGUGUGCAUGCCAUAUACUAUGACUAUUAGGAUAAAGCACCAUACAUGCCAAGGAAACCACUCUGCCCCCUGAUGGCUGCCAUUUCUGAGAUCAACCCCCAACUUUUGGUCUCAGCCGACCCUUAUUUUUGGACUCUGGUCUAAAUAGGUACAUCUUCUCCUUUCCCUGUGGGCCUCUAGAGAUCAGAGCUCAGGGUUCAAGGAUAGGACCUUCAUUUAGUCAUUAGUAAUCUGGUAUGAAUUUGCCAAUGGCUUCUUGUUUUUUUGUUACCUAUUAGUUUUAAGCUGGUCUGUCUAGGAUAAAUGUUGCAUAUUGCAUGUCAAAAAAUACCAUUAUCAACAUAAUAAUGCAAUGAUUUUGGGGUCUUGCACUUGUAGAAGUAAUAACAAGGUCUGGGGUAGGACAGAGACACUUGUAUGUAACUUCACUUGAUGUAAUAAAAACGUCUGGGAUAAGACA